AUACGGAGGGUGCAAGCGUUACUCGGAAUCACUGGGCGUAAAGCGCGCGCAGGCGGCUAUUUAAGUUGGAUGUGAAAGCCUACGGCUCAACCGUAGAACUGCAUCCAAAACUAUUUAGCUAGAGUGUGGGAGAGGAAGAUGGAAUUAGUUGUGUAGGGGUAAAAUCCGUAGAGAUAACUAGGAAUACCAAAAGCGAAGGCAAUCUUCUGGAACACUACUGACGCUGAGACGCGAAAGCGUGGGGAGCAAACAGGAUUAGAAACCCUAGUAGUCC
rnacentral:rRNA from 1 species